rnacentral:rRNA from 1 species
UACAGAGGUCCCGAGCGUUGUUCGGAUUCACUGGGCGUAAAGGGCACGUAGGCGGUGAAUCGGGUUGAAAGUGAAAGUCGCCAAAAACUGGCGGAAUGCUCUCGAAACCAAUUAACUUGAGUGAGACAGAGGAGAGUGGAAUUUCAUGUGUAGGGGUGAAAUCCGGAGAUCUACGAAGGAACGCCAAAAGUGAAGGCAGCUCUCUGGGUCCCUACCGACGCUGGAGUGUGAAAGCAUGGGGAGCGAACAGG